GAGUGGACAGACCUCUAGUGUGCCAGUUGUUCCGCCAGGAGCAUCGCUGGGUAGCCAUGUCUGGCAGAGAUAACCGCUGAAAGCAUCUAAGUGGGAAACUCGCCCUAAGAUUAGAUCCCUGUAUUCCAGUUAAUGGAGUAAGACCGCAGGUAGACCACCUGCUUAAUAGGCAGCAUGUGUAAGCACAGUAAUGUGUUAAGCUAAGCUGUACUAAUGGUCGAGGGCUUCCUUCC
rnacentral:rRNA from 1 species